rnacentral:rRNA from 1 species
AUUGAACGCUGGCGGCAUGCCUUACACAUGCAAGUCGAACGGCAGCACGGGUGCUUGCACCUGGUGGCGAGUGGCGAACGGGUGAGUAAUACAUCGGAACGUACCUUAUCGUGGGGGAUAACGCAGCGAAAGCUGUGCUAAUACCGCAUACGCCCUGAGGGGGAAAGCGGGGGAUCGCAAGACCUCGCGCGAUUAGAGCGGCCGAUGCCUGAUUAGCUUGUUGGUGGGGUAAAAGCCCACCAAGGCGACGAUCAGUAGCUGGUCUGAGAGGACGAUCAGCCAAAAUGGGACAGAGACACAGCCCAGACUCCUACGUGAGGCAGCAGUGGGAAAUUUUGGACAAUGGGGGCAACCCUCAUCCAGCAAUGCCGCGUGAGUGAAGAAGGCCUACGGGUUGUAAAGCUCUUUUGUCAGGGAAGAAACACCGGCUCUAACACAGUCCGGGAAUGACGGUACCUGAAGAAUAAGCACCGGCUAACUACGUGCCAGCCGCCGCCGUAA